rnacentral:rRNA from 1 species
CAUUCCCUUCGGGGACAGAGAGACAGGUGGUGCAUGGUUGUCGUCAGCUCGUGUCGUGAGAUGUUGGGUUAAGUCCCGCAACGAGCGCAACCCCUGUGGUUAGUUGCCAUCAUUCAGUUGGGCACUCUAAGCAGACUGCCGUAGAUAAUACGGAGGAAGGUGGGGACGACGUCAAAUCAUCAUGCCCCUUAUGACCUGGGCUACACACGUGCUACAAUGGUCUGAACAGAGGGUUGCGAAGCCGCGAGGUGAAGCUAAUCCCUUAAAACAGAUCCCAGUUCGGAUUGCAGGCUGCAACUCGCCUGCAUGAAGUUGGAGUUGCUAGUAAUCGCGAAUCAGAAUGUCGCGGUGAAUGCGUUCCCGGGUCUUGUACACACCG